rnacentral:miRNA from 1 species
AAGUAAAAGUAUAAAUUGGUGCAAAAAUAAUUGCGGUUUUUACCAUCCAAAGUAAUGGCAUAAAACUGCAAUUACUUUUGCACCCGCCUAAUA